CUGCACAACAUUUGCAAAGAUAGAAAUAUGCUGUUGCCAGAAGAUCUUCCUCCUCUCCCUGAGGAUUAUCAUGGUGAGGUCAAUGAGGAGGCCCUGGAGCGACCUCAAGAUGGUAUUCGCUACAGGGAUGACUUUGCUGCACUUCACUUUGGGGCACGACACUAAGGUCCCACCAGUCAGGCAAGUGCUGUGGUAGCUGUCGCAAGGUGGCCAACAGAGAUCUACUCCGUCCCAUGGGAAAAUGCUGCCCCUGUGAGGGACACCGCAUUCCAGAGAUGGAUCUACAGCUUUUCUUGCAAACACCUGAGACUUUCCAAGGUCCUCCUCACCAAGUCUGUCAUCAUCAAUGUGGGAGCAGGGGCGUACCUUCUGUGUAUCCAUGGCAGGGGCGGAAGCUGGGAGUUCAACAACCACCAAGCUGCUCUAGCAUAGUCGUGCCAACAUGGAGCUUUGUUCAACCACAUCCGCAUACAAACUAAGGAGGCGGUGGCUGAGUGGUUAGCGUGCCGUCCCUACAUUCGGCACGUUGUCCAUGGUGUGGGUUCGAAUCCGCCGCUAACCUUUUCAGUCACCACCAAGUGGCCUAAGACUACCCACGUGCUGCCCUGAAGACCACCUAUCAACCCGGACUUUAGAGGAAGAUGUACAGCACAAGCGAAAUCAAGAAU